rnacentral:rRNA from 1 species
AAGCGUGCGCAGGCGGUUUGUAAGACUGUCGUGAAAUCCCCGGGCUCAACCUGGGAAUGGCGAUGGUGACUGCAAGGCUAGAGUUUGGGCAGAGGGGGGUAGAAUUCCACGUGUAGCAGUGAAAUGCGUAGAUAUGUGGAGGAACACCGAUGGCGAAGGCCAGCCCCCUGGGUCAAAACUGACGCUCAUGCACGAAAGCGUGGGGAGCAAACAGGAUUAGAUACCCGUGU